UGUGUAGGAUAGGUGGGAGGCUUUGAAGUGUGGACGCCAGUCUGCAUGGAGCCGACCUUGAAAUACCACCCUUUAAUGUUUGAUGUUCUAACGUUGACCCGUGAUCCGGGUUGCGGACAGUGUCUGGUGGGUAGUUUGACUGGGGCGGUCUCCUCCUAAAGAGUAACGGAGGAGCACGAAGGUUGGCUAAUCCUGGUCGGACAUCAGGAGGUUAGUGCAAUGGCAUAAGCCAGCUUGACUGCGAGCGUGACGGCGCGAGCAGGUGCGAAAGCAGGUCAUAGUGAUCCGGUGGUUCUGAAUGGAAGGGCCAUCGCUCAACGGAUAAAAGGUACUCCGGGGAUAACAGGCUGAUACCGCCCAAGAGUUCAUAUCGACGGCGGUGUUUGGCACCUCGAUGUCGGCUCAUCACAUCCUGGGGCUGAAGUAGGUCCCAAGGGUAUGGCUGUUCGCCAUUUAAAGUGGUACGCGAGCUGGGUUUAGAACGUCGUGAGACAGUUCGGUCCCUAUCUGCCGUGGGCGCUGGAGAACUGAGGGGGGCUGCUCCUAGUACGAGAGGACCGGAGUGGACGCAUCACUGGUGUUCGGGUUGUCAUGCCAAUGGCACUGCCCGGUAGCUAAAUGCGGAAGAGAUAAGUGCUGAAAGCAUCUAAGCACGAAACUUGCCCCGAGAUGAGUUCUCCCUGACUCCCUGAGAGUCCUGAAGGAACGUUGAAGACGACGACGUUGAUAGGCCGGGUGUGUAAGCGCAGCGAUGCGUUGAGCUAACCGGUACUAAUGAACCGUGAGGCUUAACCUUACAACGCCGAAGCUGUU
rnacentral:rRNA from 1 species